rnacentral:rRNA from 1 species
UACGUAGGCAGCGAGCGUUGUUCGGAGUUACUGGGCGUAAAGGGUGUGUAGGCGGUUGUUUAAGUUUGGGGUGAAAUCUCCCGGCUCAACUGGGAGGGUGCGCCGAAUACUGAAUGACUAGAGUGCGGGAGAGGUGAGUGGAAUUCCUGGUGUAGCGGUGAAAUGCGUAGAUAUCAGGAGGAACACCGGUGGUGUAGACGGCUCACUGGACCGUAACUGACGCUGAGACACGAAAGCGUGGGGAGCAAACAGG